AAACCAUGGUUGGGACACUUUCUUAUCAUCUCUUUGAAUCUCUCCCAAGCUUCAUAGAAGGUCUCUCCAUCGAAUUGAUGAAAUUGGACUAUGUCCUUCUUCAUCUU